rnacentral:siRNA from 1 species
GCUGAAGUAGCGGUGUGGGAAGC